AGCCUGAUGCAGCAACGCCGCGUGCGGGAUGACGGCCUUCGGGUUGUAAACCGCUUUUAGUAGGGAAGAAGGGCUUCGGCUUGACGGUACCUGCAGAAAAAGGACCGGCUAACUACGUGCCAGCAGCCGCGGUAAUACGUAGGGUCCGAGCGUUGUCCGGAAUUAUUGGGCGUAAAGAGCUCGUAGGCGGUUUGUCGCGUCUGCUGUGAAAUCUGGAGGCUCAACCUCCAGCCUGCAGUGGGUACGGGCAGACUAGAGUGCGGUAGGGGAGAAUGGAAUUCCUGGUGUAGCGGUGGAAUGCGCAGAUAUCAGGAGGAACACCGAUGGCGAAGGCAGUUCUCUGGGCCGUAACUGACGCUGAGGAGCGAAAGCGUGGGGAGCGAACAGGAUUAGAUACCCUGGUAGUCCACGCCGUAAACGUUGGGCGCUAGAUGUGGGGACCUUUCCACGGUUUCCGUGUCGUAGCUAACGCAUUAAGCGCCCCGCCUGGGGAGUACGGCCGCAAGGCUAAAACUCAAAGGAAUUGACGGGGGCCCGCACAAGCGGCGGAGCAUGCGGAUUAAUUCGAUGCAACGCGAAGAACCUUACCAAGGCUUGACAUAACCGAGAACGCCCUAGAAAUAGGGAACUCUUUGGA
rnacentral:rRNA from 1 species